ACAAGCACUGGCUGAUCGGCCACCUGCACAGAAAUUAAAUCAUCUAACACACAAAGAUUCACAAACAACAUGAGGGCUUUCUGACCUCUCACUAAAUUUAUCUACCAUACUUAAAGGCCAAAGUUGGAGAUGUUUAUAGAAACCAACAGGAAACUAGACACUAUGGUUAGUGGCAGCUGAUGGGGAAGAUGAGCAGCCUCGGUGAAGUGUUCUUUACUAGUUUGAAAACGUAAACAGAAAGCAAAGUGACCACCGUCCUGUCCAAAGAAGCACAACAAACACCCUGCUGAAUAAAGACCUGUUUUCCUGUCGAAGUUCUUGUUGUUGAUGAUGAUGCACUGGCCGAUGCUGGGAAAAUCCAGGCUGUAUCUGAAGCUGUGGGAGUGGGACUUGGCAUCCACGUCCAUGGGGUCAACGGAAGACCCAUCUGACCUGAAGGAUGGCAACAACAGAACACGGUCCAUAUAAUAUAAUAACAAGCUAAAUCAAUGCUGUGCAGACAUUCACUCAAUGAUAAAAAACUAAGUUAGUGUAAACAGUGUGCGAGUUAAUAUGAGAAUAGCAGAAAUAUUGACAAUGAACCGCACCGCUGUCUGCUAACAACCCACAACAAUGGAGACAGCUAACUAGCUAAACAAACCCUGACUCACCGCUGCCCGCCGCUUUGCUUCGCGUCUGUAGAGUCCUCUCCACUUCCAGGCCCAUUAACCGACAUCUUUGAGAGUCGACUAGUUAACCGCAAAACAACAGUCAAAUUACACGCCCUGUGUGUUAAACAGUAGCCUUCACAGACAACCGAAACAGAGGAAGCAGAGGAUGAGGCGAGUCAGCUAAAGUGCGAGUGAGCUGAGCUGAGGAGAGGAGUCGGGGAGAGGAGUGGAGAUCGGCGCGUAAACAAAGAUGCUGACGUCACUUUGAGAUACGCUCGUUUCAAACACCGAACAUUGCCGCUGAACGGAGCAGACUUGGCUGGCUAGCUCUUGACGCUCACAUGUAUGUAAACAAAUUAAAUUAAAUGUAUCGUCGUAUUUGAUACUUGCUUAUAUUUUUUGAAUGUAUUGGUUUUCUAGUGUUGUGAAAAGUGGGUUGAUUUGCUUUUCUUGUCCGUAACAUUUCAUUGCACAUGACAAAAUAAACGAUUAUUCUGAA